GGCGGUAGAGAGAAGCUUGCUUCUCUUGAGAGCGGCGGACGGGUGAGUAAUGCCUAGGAAUCUGCCUGGUAGUGGGGGAUAACGUUCGGAAACGGACGCUAAUACCGCAUACGUCCUACGGGAGAAAGCAGGGGACCUUCGGGCCUUGCGCUAUCAGAUGAGCCUAGGUCGGAUUAGCUAGUUGGUGGGGUAAUGGCUCACCAAGGCGACGAUCCGUAACUGGUCUGAGAGGAUGAUCAGUCACACUGGAACUGAGACACGGUCCAGACUCCUACGGGAGGCUGCCUUGGGGAAUAUUGGACAAUGGGCGAAAGCCUGAUCCAGCCAUGCCGCGUGUGUGAAAAAAGUCUUCGGAUUGUAAAGCACUUUAAGUUUUGCGGAAGGUCAGUAAAUUAAUACUUUGCUGUUUUGACGUUACUGACAAAAUA
rnacentral:rRNA from 2 species